GACGAACGCUGGCGGCGUGCUUAACACAUGCAAGUCGAACGAUGAACCCGGAGCUUGCUCCGGUGGAUUAGUGGCGAACGGGUGAGUAACACGUGAGUAACCUGCCCUUGACUCUGGGAUAACUGCGGGAAACUGUAGCUAAUACCGGAUACGACCCUCGGCGGCAUCGCCAGGGGGUGGAAAGAAUUUCGGUCAAGGAUGGACUCGCGGCCUAUCAGCUAGUUGGUGAGGUAACGGCUCACCAAGGCGACGACGGGUAGCCGGCCUGAGAGGGUAACCGGCCACACUGGGACUGAGACACGGCCCAGACUCCUACGGGAGGCAGCAGUGGGUAAUAUUGCACAAUGGGCGCAAGCCGGAUGCAGCAACGCCGCGUGAGGGAUGACGGCCUUCGGGUUGUAAACCUCUUUUAGUAGGGAAGAAGCGAAAGUGACGGUACCUGCAGAAAAAGCACCGGCUAACUACGUGCCAGCCGCCGCAGUAA
rnacentral:rRNA from 1 species